rnacentral:rRNA from 1 species
GGGUUGUGAGGUUAAGCGACUAAGCGUACACGGUGGAUGCCCUGGCAGUCAGAGGCGAUGAAGGGCGUGCUAAUCUGCGAUAAGCGCCGGUAAGGUGAUAUGAACCGUUAUAACCGGCGAUACCCGAAUGGGGAAACCCAGUGUGACUCGUCACACUAUCAUUAACUGAAUCCAUAGGUUAAUGAGGCGAACCGGGGGAACUGAAACAUCUAAGUACCCCGAGGAAAAGAAAUCAACCGAGAUUCCCCCAGUAGCGGCGAGCGAACGGGGAGGAGCCCAGAGCCUGAAUCAGCAUGUGUGUUAGUGGAAGCGUCUGGAAAGGCGCGCGAUACAGGGUGACAGCCCCGUACACAAAAGCGCAUGUGCUGUGAGCUCGAUGAGUAGGGCGGGACACGUGGUAUCCUGUCUGAAUAUGGGGGGACCAUCCUCCAAGGCUAAAUACUCCUG